UUCCGCGACAGGCAUUGAGGCAUUUCGAAAUGUGAAUUCAGGUUAAGUUAUGUUUUCGGUUAGCGGCAACGGUAACUACAAGGACACAUAAGAUUCAGAGUUACUACUACUAUUACUGCUACUACAGUUUUAGUUGUAGUAGUACAAUUAUCGGAGUAUCAGUACUUACCUCGACUGUGUGGGAUAGUUCGUGAUAAGCUGUGUUAUAAAAUACAAAAGCUCUGAAACCUUCGUUCGUAAAUACAUGUUCUUUUGAAUUGAAUUAUAUAAACUUAAACAGAAGAAAUGGAGGGUAUAGAAGUCCCAGAGGGUAUAGAAGUCCCAACUGAAGUCACAUUAAUAGUGAAAGAGUCACAGUUUCUAUGUGAUAGGAAGCUGUUGGCAGACCACAGUCCAUACUUUCAUGCCAUGUUUAAUAAUGACUUCAAGGAAAAACACGAGAAGCUAGUCAAUUUACAGGGAAUUGAACCAGAAGCACUUGAGUUUAUUAUGAAUGCAAUUCGUCAAACAGAGAUAGAUUUUACAAAAUCAAAAAACAUUCUGGAUGUUUUGGAAGCAACUUGUAUGUUACAGUUUGAUCAUGUUCAGAAAGAAUGCAUCAAGUUUAUAAUUUUUUCCUGGCUGGACAAAGAAACUUGGUUGCCUACGUCCAAUUUAGCUGACAAACUCGGCCUGACUGAACUAAAACAGAAAACUAAAACACUUGCUUUGUGGAAUUUUUCUAAAGUGAGGAAGACUGAACAGUUUCUAUAUUUAACUUCAGAAGAGGUGAUCGAAUUUCUCAGUGAUGACAGGUUACGGACUACCGAGGGGGAAUUCGAGAUUUUUGAAGCUGGCGUGAACUGGAUCGAGCACAGUCCAGAAGACAGAUUAUUUUAUUCUAUACCUUUAUUGAGUGUCGUUAGGUUCAAGGAAAUGGAGUCAUUUGACAUUAGGAACAUGUUACACUUCAGCAGUGUUAAAGACACUCCUCAGGCGGAAUUGAUAAUACAAUGUAUUCUUGAGAUGAAAGAUGGGAUUUUAAACCAAAACUGUGAGUCGUGUAAUCCAUCUAAUAUUGAUGAUCGAGACAGUAUAGAGUCUGGAAAAAGUUCACCUCUGCCUGCAGCAGGUAUAUUUUUUAAGAGUUUAAAACGAAAACGAAGAACCACUUCUCACUGUACAUGUUUUGAUCCCACUACUGUGAAAACCGCGCAGGAUCUGCUAGCAAGAGAACCUCGUUGCCUUCCGCUGUUUCCCUGUGUUGCAGCAAGUUUGCCUUUCAGCACUCACACAACAGCCAAAUCACCCCGAAUGAAGUUGAGAGAGAAGACUAAGUGGCCAUACAUGUUUCGAUGGAAUGGUGAACAAUUGGUUCCUUUCAUCUAUUUAUCCAAAAUCGAUGAGGGACCAGCAGAAGCAAUGGGUUAUAAAGUUGUAGUACAAGACUUGAAACUGUAUGUAAUUGGAGGAGAGUACAUGAUGGGCCAAGGCGAUUGGAAUACAUCUAUCUGGUUCUAUGAUACAUGGAGAGAAGUUUGGCAAUUUGAAACAAGCUUACCAUUCCCUCGACGCCAUCACUCUGCUGUCUGUGUGAACAAUGAAUUGUACGUCAUUGGAGGCGUUGGACGCCAUAGGGUCAUGUUGGAUUCUGUCACCAAAUACAGUCUGGAAACAAAGAGUUGGGAGACUUGCAGUCCUCUACCUAUACAUCUUUACUCUGCAGCGUGUUGUGUGUACAAGGACGACAUUUAUAUGUUCGGGUCCCAGUUAUACUGCUAUCGCCAGUCCAUAGCUAACUGGGAGAUCCUGAGCAAUAUCAGUCUGCCAGAUAACAUGUCUGUCGGCGCAGCAAUGACUGACAACGAAACUAUUUAUGUCAUUGGAAUCAACGCAAAGCUGUACAGUUUCAUCCCACAACCGAAGGAUGUAGAGAUCAAGUUCCUGGGUCAGUUUAAAAUAGCUGCCACCAACGCUUGUCUUGUCAAUGAUGCCAUCUACAGUUUCGCUGAGGAAGAUGACAUGCAGGUAGUGGAACAGUAUCAUUUAAAGAGAAAAACAUUUACAACUCUGUGGUACAACAAGAUAGAAGAUGAGGAAGAAACACAGGCUUCUGUCUGUUUAAAACAGGCAGUCGGGUGCUUUCCCCUUCCUAAAUACUAUUGAGCCAGUCUGUGAGAGGAAGUAAGUACAGUGUAAAGGGAUCUUUUCAAAAUAGAAAUGUCAUAUAAACGGUGAUGAUUAGUUUACCUAAAUCCAUUGUAUAUGUUUAAGUCUAAAGUGCUCACCAAGUUUGUAUCAUAUUUGUCUUCAAGAGAUGUUAAAAUUUUGAAGUUAUUGCAUCAUUUAAUUGAAUUUGUAUGCACAUGUAGUUAUAAAAAUACAUGUUUGUGUAAGCAACAAUGAAUUAUGUUAUAUGUUUUAAAGUUAAAUAACAGUUUUUAAGCAUCAUACAAUUUUUACAUACUUUUUAUUUUAUAAAUAAAUAUAUUAAUUUUUUUAUAUAUGAUACCAAAUGUACGUAUUAACAGUUUUCUGAAAGUACUUUUUAUGAGGUGGCUAAAACACUCUAAUAUUCUAGUUUGCACUCUUUAUUGUUGGAAACUUGUGAUAGAAGAUUGAAAUUUUAUAUGUAUAUACAUCUCUGUGACAAGCUACAUUGAUACAAAGACUAAACUACAAAGUUUGUUGUGUUGGAACAUUAUUAUUAUAAGAAUACUUACUUGGUUGUGUUACUAUUUUAUUUCCCUCUUGAAAAAUUUAAAAUGUAUAUGUAUUUAUUUUGGUAAUUUGAUUAGUUGUAAACUAAGGUAUACAAGUUAAAUUGUUUGAAUAAUGUUUAUGUUGUUAUGUUUUUACAAUUUUGUUAAAAAGGUGUUUUGUUACCUAUUUAGAAUUACUUGUUAUAGAAAUUAAGAGGCGGCAGGAAAAUGAAAUGGAAAACGUUAUAUUGAAACAAGUGAAAUUAGGGGCACAUGGACCCGUUGUACACUUAAACUGUAAAAUAAGAAAAUAGAAGUAAAUGUUUAAUUUAUUAUUACUGUAAAAUAACCAACAUAACACAAAUCAAGGAAGAUUGUGUUGAGAACUGGUCUGUUGAGCUGUCAACACCUAGAUAGCUUUAACAUAGAGCAAAACAUCUAUUAAUUUUCAGCAUAUUGACAAACAUUAUUUUUAAAGUGGCACAGUAGUUUUGCCUAAUAGUCACAGGUAACUUUUUUCAACAUUAGUAAUCUGUUUAUAAAACUAAGUACAAUAUUAAAGAAACUGAAUUUCUCAUAGAAAAUUACCACGAUUUUGAGAGUCUGGUACAAUAAAAUAAUCUGCAAAUAGCAGAAUUUUUCAGACUACCACAAACUUAAUAAACAAAUGAUUGUGAUGAUUUAUAAAGUUUAUUCAAAAGUUCAUGUAAUAAUAAGUAUUUCAAAGAGCCGAAAUUCAUUAAGUAUUCUUACUUGAGCACCUGGUAAUUCUAAGUGUAAUGAAACAAGAUGACACCUGCCACCUCUUACUGUUUUGUUAAUAGAGGGAAAGAUAUUUUUAAAUGUUACAACACAUGAUUCAGAAACAGUUUGUGAAUUGUUAGCUUUAAACAAAGCAAUACCAAUCAGACUUUAGAUUGACAGCUUCUCAGAAGUUUUACUACUUAUUAAUUCCUGGAAUUAGUUGAGCUGUCAGGACAAUGACUACACAGGGAACAAACAUUCAUUCUGUACAUAACUCACUUUCGUACAUUCGUUUGCCUAUGAUACUCAUGCGGGUACAAUAUUAAGUAUGAGAAUAAGUGUUAUAUUCAACAUUAAUGUAUAAUGCUUUAGUGUUCGUAAGUGCUCAAAUUACGAGGGCUGUUAAGAAAGUAAUGUACGUUUUGGAAUUAAAAAAAGAAACCAAGUACAAGAAAAACAUUUUAUUAUUUACAUGUGGCAGAGGGACUAAAAUACUGCUUUUCUACAUCAUCACUAUACAAAUUCAGGCACUUAUAGCGUUGGAUAAGCUUUGAAAUUCCUGUGUCAUAGAAUUCUGCCGCCUGUGUCUUCUGGCACCCAUCUUGCACAAAACUUCAUGGAAUCUAGCCGAACAAUUUCAAAUAAUAAAGUCAGUGAAACUUGUGGAAAACAUAGUGAAAUGGCGGUUUACACGGAUCUUUUCAUCAACUUUGGCAACCAGAUCGUCAGUCACAAUCAUUGAACGUCCACUCUUCUCUUUAUCAUGAACGUUUGUUCAGCCAUUUUAAAACUGAAUGCACCACUUCCUGAUAGAACUAUCAUUCAUUAUGGGGUCAACGUUGUUCCUGUACACUUCAUACAGUUCCAGAUGAAUUUCUAUUGGUUUAAAGUUUUUUCCAACAAAAAACGAACCACAGACCGCACAUCACAACUGGUGGCAUUUUUGAUUGCAGCACACAUUUCAAAUUUGAAUACAAAAAAGACUGGCAGUGUUGAGAUGUUCCUGUUGUCAUGCCUGAACGCUGACUGAGGUGCAGAGCACGAUCACCCCAAUAUAUAUGUGGUUGGCGCACACCUGGUGGCGUUAGGUGGAAACGUUCCUUACUUUCUGAAUAGCCCUUGUUUAAAAUUUGUUUUUAAAACAACUAUUGUUAUUUGUCAGGCAGCUUGUAAUUUUAGACAUGUUUUAAUCACAUUAAUGUGAUUUAUAAGUGCUGUGUGAUAUUAAAUUAGUCAAGAUUUGGUAGAAGAAGUAAAAUUUUAUGUUUCAAUAUGUUAUGUACAUAGGCAUCAUAAUAGAUAUAGUAGAAUGAGGUAACAAGGAUUUGUAUUUUUAACAAUGACUUGUAUCCAACUACUGUCUGUAAAAAAAUAGUUGCCUUGUCAAAAUUAAUUCUGAGGAGAACUUAUUUUGAGACUACUAACUAAUUAAGACUUAGUGAUAGUGAUAAUAAUAUAUAAGAAACUAUCUUUAACAUAAUAUAUAUAAUACUAGUUUUACCUUUGGUUUGUCUCAUACAAGUAAUGAUAGAUCGGCUUAUUUGUUGGUGGUUCUGACAUAAUUUAUAUGGAUUGGAAAUGUGUGAGUGAUAUGUUGACCAAAUGCGUUGUUUAACAGUUGAAAGGAAGUUAGUGAAGUUUGUUACAGCUCGAGACCAAUUGAUGUGUUAAAAAAGUGAAUGUAAAUGGUGGGAUCUUCAAUACAAGGACAGUUGUUUAUUGAAAAUGUUAUGUUUUACAACUUUCCUCACUAAAAAUAUAUAAAUUCAAUUCUUAUUUCAUGUAUUUACUUCUUAUUUAUAUUUUAUUAUAUUUAUGAGUCAAUUCAUCAACUAGGUAAUUAAACAGUAAAUUGAAUAGUUCAAAAAUUGUAUAAAAUUAUUAAAAUAUGGUCUCUAAAGUUAUGAAAUUAUUAAUUGAAAGAGUACAUGGGUACAUUGAUCUUUCACAACUCCCGGCGUACACUCGAUUAGGUACACGUGGGGCUUUUGUAAAGUCCGUCAUGCGCCCUUUGAGGUACAUAUUGCUAUGCAUUUCUUUAUUGAGUUUUUAUUGUUUACCUGUCUUGGUGGUUCGUUAAAUUUCAUCCCGCACUUAAAUAAAUACCUUAGAGUAUCAUGUAACCCUAACAUAGGAAAAAUAUAAGAAUUAAAGUAUUUAUUACAGAACUGUUUUGUGGCAAAGCAAUAAUGAGUUAUUCCAGAGCUGCCAGUUACAGUACUUAAAACGUUCUGGCAUUAUUAAGUUCUUGAAAUCAAUCAAUUUCAAGUAUUCAUGUCACUUUGUAUAUUUUUUUGGUAGCUGUACUUUACUAUAAUGUACUGAAAAUUCUCAUUAAGGAAUUGAAGCAAAUAAUUCAUUACCUGAAAGGAAGUACUCAAUCAAAUAUCAUAGAAUCACAGUAAAUCCAUCUGAUCCAAACCAUAAAAAUGCAGUACUUGCCCUAUUUUACUUAGAAAUAUUCCCUUAACUGCACCAUUUUCAUAUAUCCUCAAUAUCCUUUCCAAAUGGUUUUGUUGGUUAUUCUUUACGUUUUCAAUAAGUAAUUUUAAGAGCAUUAAAUAAAUUGUAAAAAUUUAAAGUAUACACAUUGUUACUGUACUAUCUGUAGUAAUACAUCAUUAGUAUUUUGUAUUAUUAUGUAAGUCAUUUGUGGGUACUGUCCAUAUCAGUUCAAGCAUUUAAAUUAUAACAUGUUUUUGUCGGAAAUUUCUGAAAGAUAGUUAGGUAGUGGCACAAACUGGCAACAUUGUUUUCAAUCAUUAUUUUACUCACAGUAUCCACUAGAGCCAAAUAAGUGGUUAAGGGAUUAAAUUGCCAUUUAAGAAACAUGUUAAUGCAUAUCAUUGCCUCAUGAAGGGUUACACAUUUUUUAGUUUACAAGAUCAAGACUGAUAAUUUAGUGUUUCAAUGUUGGCUAACUGUACUAAAACUAGUAGUGUACCUAUUAUACACACGCCAAUGGUUUUAGAAAGUGUUUAAAAAGUUGUAGUAUUUUAUGUUUUUAUCAUGAAUAUUGUGUUAAACACAUUUGAAGUAAAUAUUUUUUGUUGAUA
rnacentral:misc_RNA from 1 species